AGGACGAACGCUGGCGGCGUGCUUAACACAUGCAAGUCGAACGGAAAGGCCCGCUUGCGGGUACUCGAGUGGCGAACGGGUGAGUAACACGUGGGCAACCUGCCCUCAGCUCUGGGAUAACUCCGGGAAACCGGUGCUAAUACUGGAUAUCGACUUCUGCCUCGCAUGGGGUGUUGUUGAAAGUUUUUCGGCUGGGGAUGGGCCCGCGGCCUAUCAGCUUGUUGGUGGGGUGAUGGCCUACCAAGGCGACGACGGGUAGCCGGCCUGAGAGGGCGACCGGCCACACUGGGACUGAGACACGGCCCAGACUCCUACGGGAGGCAGCAGUGGGGAAUAUUGCGCAAUGGGCGGAAGCCUGACGCAGCGACGCCGCGUGAGGGAUGACGGCCUUCGGGUUGUAAACCUCUUCAGCUCUGACGAAGCGAGAGUGACGGUAGGAGCAGAGAAGCACCGGCCAACUACGUGCCAGCAGCCGC
rnacentral:rRNA from 1 species